UAAACCUUUAUCCCUUUCUUCUCCAACCUUAAACUUGUUUAGUCUCUCAGUCUCCCAAUCUUUCAAACGAUAAACCCUAAAAACCUCUAAACGCUAAACCUAUAAACCCUUUCUUUUCCAACGUCAAACCCUUCCUUUUCUUCUCCGACGUUAAACCCUUCCUUCUUUAACCCGUCCUUCUCAAACCUUUCCUUCUCAAACAAAGAACAUCACCGAUUUGAAGAAUACCACCGCUACUUCGUUCAUUGGGCUUCAUUGAUUCUGAUACUGCAGUUCUUGAAGACUUAGUGUUCGACGACGAACAACACCAUGACGACGAGCAACAUAACCACCAUCUUCUUGAAGUUGUGAUCUUUGUUCUUCAGAAGUUUGCAAGGGUAGAGCAUUAUUGAAUGCAAUUGGUAAUUUAGAGCUAAUUGGUCUGUAUGCAAAGUGUUUGACCCAGCUUAGUUAUAAACCGGGUAUGUCUAUUACUACUAACUCCUUUUUGAUUUAAUUCAUAUAAACCGUUGGUGUAAAAUAAUUUUACACUAUCACUCAAUCAUAUAAUCCCUCAUUGUAAGGAGUUUCUAAGUAAACUGUGAUUAUUAUGAAGAAGUACAGUAUGUUGAUGCCUCAAAUAGGUUGUGCAGCCAUAGGUGUUUUGGCGUUUACCAUAUUUGGACCUGGAUGGCUUGCCAAGAUUGCUAGUGUUGUAGCUUGUGUUGCCUACAUGAUUUACACCGACUCUGUUCAUCCCCAAGUAUUUUUGCUUCCACGUCAUUUGAUUUUGAAACUAGUAUUUAUCUCCAACAUUGUUAUUAAGCCGACAAAUUUUGCUAUAUCUACAGCCGUAAGCAUGCCCUUGCUUUUCAUUGAUGGUGUUAAGUUGCAACACUUAAUUUUCUGGUAUGUUUUGUAUCCUGAGGUAGCUGGAUGUAUUCUACUAUGUUUCAUUGUAAGCAAUUUAUCUAACUUGUCAUAGUUUUAUUUUCUGCCCGAAAAUGGUUUUUAGUACAUAUGUUAUCACUUGGGUUGGAGGAGAAGGUAUCAAUGUUGUGGCACACGAUGUCCCCAUACCCGGAUAUAAGGUCUUAAUUGUGCCUUGUUUAUUCUGCAGGUUAUUAAUGACAUGUUUGGCAUUUUUUAGGGUCUCAUGACCACUGUCCAUUCCAUCACUAGUGGGUAUAUAGCUAGUGUGUUACUAUUGCAUUUGUUAUUUUAUCUUAGAACUUGGUAAUUCAUUCUUAUCUUGCUGCAAUGCUAAUAACCAUCCACCCAGAAGACUUUUGAGGGACCAUCAAGCAAGGACUGAAGAGGUGGAAGAGCUGCUUCAUUUAACAUAAUUCCCAACAGUACUGGAGUUGCUGCUAAGGCUGUCGGUAAAGUGCUUCAUGCUUUGAAUGGAAAAUUGACCAGUACGUCAUUCUGUGUCCCAACUGUGGAUGUCUCUAUUGUUGACCUUACAGUGAGGCUCGAGAAGGCUGCCACCUAAGUUCAAAUCAAAGUUGCU